CGGUCAAAUCACGCUGAAAACACCGGUUCUCGUUCGAUCACCGAAGUUAAGCAUCGUAGAGCCAGGUCAGUACUUAGAUGGGGGACCGCUUGGGAACACCAGGUACUGUAAG